CCUCCUUGAUCAAAUCCAAUGACUUUACUUCAGCCAUAAGCUGGCUAUACUCACGUUCAACUUCUUCUAGCUCAUUUCUGAGCUGUGUCGCCUUUUUAUUGAGUUCUUCUUUCCUCUUCUCAAAUUCCAGGCAUUGUGCUCGGAGUUUCUUGUUUUCCUGCAUCAAGUUUGCAGCUUCCUGAUAUUUUGACUGAGUUGCUGUAUUGAUAGGAUGGACCUGUGCUUCCAAACUCUGUUCUGAAACAAUUGCAUUGGCCCGUGAUUGUCCAUGCUUCUUCACACUUUUAAGUUCCACCAAAUCAUCAGAAUGUUUCCUUUUUGUACAUAAUCCAGUGGCAGGCAAUGCUUUUGCACUAGCAACAACAGGGGAACUUGGACUAAACUUGACAGGCUUUGUUUUACCAUUUGCCAUAACAAGAGGUGAGUCCUGUUUAGGCUGUGGUGCUGGAGGCUUUUUUUUGACCUGGUACCCAAUUAGCCCACAGUGAUAAUCCCAGUACUCCCAUGUCAUCUCCUUCAACCGACCUUCAAGUUUUUGCAAAAGGGAAGUUCUCUCAAAAUCUUGUUUGUUAUGUGUUGGUUCAAUAAAAUUUGCUUCCAGAACACCAACCACCCCUCUACCCCUACUGUCUGCAUAGCUCACAACUGGCCAAAAUGGCAAUAUUAAACGAUUCUUGUGGUAGACAUUGAAACCGUGAACACAGACAUGUGGAGCUUCUUUUAAAAACCCAAUUGUAGUUAUGACUUGACCCUCUACACAUCCACCGCAUUGAGGUCUAUACAAGAUGAAUUCUUGGAAUUUAAGAUCAUCAGCAAGAUUAUGAUGCUCAACCAGUCGUCCACGCAAUAUUAUUUGGAAAGUAGCAGGUAUCCGCAAGUACAAGAUGGACAAAUACACCCGAAGAGAGUAAUGUAACCGGUUAGCAAUGUGCUGUUCAUUAACCAUCCUCCAAGCAGGAAUUGUGUCAACUUUUUUUAUAUCCCCACAAAUACGAAUAUCCUCAGGAUCCGUAUCGAAGUCUAGCUCCACAAUCCCAUCAUCAUUCAACCAUAAAUUAUAGAUAAUAACUUUAGUGCCAUGUGACUCUAUGUCAUCAAAUUGCUUUAGAAGCUCAACUUCUGUUGAAUAUGGAGA
rnacentral:misc_RNA from 1 species